UACGAAGGGUGCAAGCGUUACUCGGAAUUACUGGGCGUAAAGCGUGCGUAGGUGGUCUGUUAAGUCUGAUGUGAAAGCCCUGGGCUCAACCUGGGAAUGGCAUUGGAAACUGGCGGGCUAGAGUGCGGUAGAGGGUAGUGGAAUUCCCGGUGUAGCAGUGAAAUGCGCAGAUACCGGGAGGAACGCAGGUGGCGAAGGCGACACACUGGACCUUUCCUGACGCUGAGGCGCGAAAGCUAGGGGAGCAAACGGG
rnacentral:rRNA from 1 species